GCCGGGCACGGUGGCGCGUGCCUGUAGUCCCAGCUACUCAGGCGGUUGAGGUGGGAGGAGUGCUUGAGCCCAGGAGUUCUGGGCUGUAGUGCGCUAUGCUGAUCGGGUGUCUGCACUAAGUUCAGCAUCAAUAUGGUGACCUCCCGGGAGCGGGGGACCACCAGGUUGCCUAAGGAGGGGUGAACCCACCCAGGUCGGAAACUCCCGUGCUGGUCAGUAGUGGGAUCGAGCCUGUGAAUAGCCACUGCACUCCAGCCUGCGUAACAUAGCAGGACCCUGUCUCA
rnacentral:SRP_RNA from 1 species